rnacentral:rRNA from 1 species
AAAUUGAAGAGUUUGAUCAUGGCUCAGAUUGAACGCUGGCGGCAGGCCUAACACAUGCAAGUCGAGCGGUAGCACAGAGAG